rnacentral:lncRNA from 1 species
AGUAGAGCAAGGUCAUGUAGUAAGUAGUCUUUUAGUUUUUCUGAGGAUCCUCCACACUAAUUGAUUAUGGCUACAUUAAUUUACCUCCUUACCAGUCCUCUAUAAAAGUCAUGGUCAGCAUAGUUUGUUUUCUUGGGAAUGAACAUCUGACCAGAUUCAAAUAGAAUCUCAGUGUACUUCUGAUUACCAUUUCCAUGAUGGCUUUUACAUUUCUGUCAUUUUUUAAAUGCACCCCAGCACUGCCCCUCCCCUUUCAAGUCACCUUCUUCUUUUUUUUGUUUUUUUUAAGGACUUUUUGUAUUGGAAAAAUACAAGCUUCAUCUUUAGGAACCAUACAUCUUAAACCAAUUAUUUCUUUUAAACUAGACAGAGCACAAACAUCCCUAGCCCUGUCAAAUAAGUUUAAAUAAGGUGACAUCAGGCAAAUAAAUUAAGGAUUAAUAAGUUAGUCCUUUGUGCUAGGGAUCUAGCUCACUUAGUAGAAUGCUUGCCAAGUGUGAAUGAAGGGUGUUAGAACUGCCUAAGAUAGGCAUGGUGGCCCACACCUGUAAUCCCAGCACUCGGUGGAAGCCGAAGGGUCAGAAGUUCAAGGUUAAAAAAAAAAAAGCCUUUAUUUAGAUGGAGGUAUAAAUUUAACAUCUCUGUCUUAAUUUGGGUUUUACUGCUGGGAACAGACACCAUG